UCGGGAAUAUUGCGCAAUGGAGGAAACUCUGACGCAGUGACGCCGCGUAUAGGAAGAAGGUCUUCGGAUUGUAAACUAUUGUCGUUAGGGAAGAGAAAGGACAGUACCUAAGGAGGAAGCUCCGGCUAACUACGUGCCAGCAGCCGCGGUAAUACGUAGGGAGCGAGCGUUAUCCGGAUUUAUUGGGUGUAAAGGGUGCGUAGACGGGAAAAUAAGUUAGUUGUGAAAUCCCUCGGCUUAACUGAGGAACUGCAACUAAAACUAUUUUUCUUGAGUGCAGGAGAGGAAAGUGGAAUUCCUAGUGUAGCGGUGAAAAUGCGUAGAUAUUAGGAGGAACACCAGUGGCGAAGGCGACUUUCUGGACUGUAACUGACGUUGAGGCACGAAAAGUGUGGGGAGCAAACAGGAUUAGAUACC
rnacentral:rRNA from 1 species